AGGUGCGAUCAUACCAGGACUAAUGCACUUGAUCACAUCAGUACUCCGUGAUGAUGCGUUCUUUGGCGAGAGUAGUACUAGGAUGGGUGACCUCCUAAGAAGUCCUCAUGUUGCACUUC
rnacentral:rRNA from 2 species